UCCUAGCUCUAGUCUCGCACAGGGUGUCGAAAAUCAACUUGAACUUUUGUCGACGUUUUCUUCUUAUUUUUGUGGUUCUGUAUUUUUGUAUUUUGCCCGAAUCUACUUUACAGUAUGACAUAACAGAAAUCAUCAGUGUAUUUUAGAGCCAAGCAGCUGUUUUUAUUGGAUGACGUCACUUCACUUGUCAUUUGACAGACGUCAGGGCGUAUAUGUCACGACUAUCGUUGUGAGUCACGAAAACAAAUAAAAAGAGGCACAUGACAGUUCCUCUUAUCGCCUCAAAAAAGUAUCUUCCUCCGCUGGUAUAACCGUUGGUAUGUGAACACUUCAAUUUUUUGUGUUUCUUCUAUGUUAAAGGCCUCCAAAUAGCUUUUUCUCUGCUGAAUAUUCCGAACCACUCUCUUUCACCAUGUCAUACCCACAGAAUUUGGUUGUGCCUUAUCGAGGUUUAAUACCUUCAGGAAUCUUUCCUGGUCGCAUGAUACGAAUUCAAGGAAGAGUUCUGCCAUCUGCUCUGAGGUUUGCGGUUAAUCUUCAAUGUGGACCAAACACUGAACCACGAGAUGAUAUGGCUAUCCACUUUUCUCCUCAAUUCGAUUCUCAUAAAGUCAUCAGAAAUAGUCUACAGAAUUUGAUGUGGGGACCAGAGGAAAGUCUUGGCUUCUUCCCAUUCUCUCCAGGACAGCCAUUUGAACUCAUCAUACUGUGUGAAGCAACCCACUUCAAGUUUGCUAUAAAUGGGCAACACUACACUGAGUUUGAGCAUCGAAUGGCCUUUCAAAGAGUAACUCACAUAACUGUUGAUGGCGAUUUGGAACUGACAUCUGUUCGCUUUGAGGAUCCACCUCCAGAAAUUGUGCCCGGCGGUACAACUAUUGCUCCUUCAAGUGGUUAUAUUAUGCCAAUGGCCUAUGACCCGUCUCCUGCAAUUUAUCCCUCUGUUAACCCUCCUGCUUACACAGCAUAUGCUCCACAAUAUCAGUAUGAACCACAACAAACAUAUGUUGUUCAAAAUCAGUCAGGGGGUGGCUUAGGCAAGUAUGGUUCUGCAGCUGUGGGAGCCGCUGCCGGUAUGGCAUUAGGUGGCCUCGGUGGAUAUGCCAUCAGCAAUGCCCUCCAUCACAGUGGAUCUUCAUCUUGUUCUGACAGUGAUUAAGUUUUCAACAUUCAUUGAGGUCUCAUGCUGUGUCUUUUUAUCUAAACAUGAUAGUACAGUUUGAAGGCUGAAUCAUGCAUUAUACUAGUUUGACAACCUCUGCUACUGUUUAAAUGCAGGCUUCAUCUCAGUAAUAGACCAGCAAAUUUGUUCAAACAUUUCCAAGUAUUCUUCUUAUUCUUCACUAUACACCUUACUCACAAACGAGCAGCUACUAACUUAUUUGUUGUCUUUAAUUUCACUAAAUAUUUUACUAAUGCACUGCACUAUAUUUUACCUUCAGCUUCUUAUUAUACAGAAACUGUAAUAUGUUACUAUUUUCUGAGCAUUAAAAAAAAAGACAGAUAUCUAACAUAAGCCUUUUCCCCACUUUAACUCCGGUUCCCAAACCACGUCGAAUUAUUGCUAGCACAUGACUUACAGAUCGUCCAGAAAAUGCUUUUUGGUGAUUCAUUCGGCAAAUUACGGCAGCUCAGCGCCUGCGGGACUGAGGUAGGCCACUCCGCAGUACACGCAUGCACUGCAUGCACGCUAUUGCCUAUCUAUCAGGCACUAUGAUAGCUUACAUUUGCUGAAUUUAGCAGGUUUGCUACGACGAAUGAUAGACGUACUUUCUGGAUGAUCCCUUAGUAGUCGCCCACCUGCCUGACACCGGAAAACCCAGGUCUAAGUUGUAGGCAGUGCGCUGGGCAGGCCAACCCGCCAAGCACUUCUCUUCACAAUUCUUUCGGCAGCUCGCCCCCGCAAUAAACUAAGACAAUGGGGCCCGGGGUCCCCCCAAACCUAAGGGAUAGCAGGUUGUGAACCCCGGCCCAGAGCCGACACUUUAGCCACCUAUGACGCAGUGCCUCCAACAAUGGUAACCACUACGCCAUCGGAACUCCACGAGAGGGGCGUGGUGAAAUGACGGUUUUGAAGUCCAUUUGAAAUUUGGUGGCCUGAGAAAAAUUUCAGACAUACGGAGAGUCGAACCACCGACCUCCCGCGCUCUGAGCGGACGCGCUACCGACUGAGCCAUAGAGGCGCGAUACGAACUUGUGCUCCAGGGAACGAACCAUUCUACGCUGUCGCUUACUAGCGUCGCUCCUUGUCUCCCGUAAUACAGGACCGACUUUGAACGCGCAGUGGCGAAGACGGGCGGGUGGCCGAGCGCGCUAAAUCGUGCUCGUGUCAAACUGUUCGCCCGAGAGUCGACUCCCGGCUAGGGCAGAUAUAUAUUUUAUCUUCUUCAGUUCUGUGGCAGCUGAGGUUGCUCAAUUGUGACCAGUCUGAAACUGUCUGGAGUUCGACUCCCGGCCAGCCCAUAAUAGUUUAUUAUCCUGAUCAUUUCACUAUUGUCACUUGGCACUUCCCUGGCCCGCCUGCUGGAGCCACACAACAAUGCGCGGGACGGGAAGCAUCCCCAAAGGAUCACAUCCUGGACAAGCGAGGAGGGAUUGCCUACCCCAGGAAAGAAUCACAUCCCGUGACCACGAUAUGUCGGUGAGUAUGUCGUAAUUAUUGCUCUCCUCCUUUGCCGUGCCGCGUCCCUACCCCUCUCCUCCCCCCCACCCCCACCGCGCAUUUCCCGCGCCUUUAUGGAAACGUAAACAAACAGUGAAUAUCGGUGCCACGAUCAGUGUUUCUGCCAAAUACCGAUAAAACCUUCUCAUAUAAUUAUUGAUCAUAGGAUUUUAACUAGAAUUUUAGAGUGGACAUCGCCGCUUUUCGUUAUUAAUCGCAAGG